UUGACAUACAUUUAGGUUAUGUGUGAAGCAGUCCGCUCCAUCUACAAUUAAAUCUGAAAGAGUCUAUAUCUGAAAAACUAAAAUGAUGUUCACCAUUACAUUUAUGCAGCUGUGUUUAUCAAUGUUCUAAUACAUCUGAAAUCUGAAGCAAAAUAUUUAAGAUCUUGCGAAACAAUUAAGAUAUCAUCUACAUAAAUUGAAAGAAGUAAUAUUUUAUCCUCCCUUCGAAUGAUAUGAACACGUUGAUCCGACUGAAUUGGCUGUAUACCAAUUUGUCGUAAUUUUUAUCAAAUCUAAUGUUUCAUUGGCGCCCAACUUGUUUCAAACUGUAAAGGGAUUUUUUUAUAACAAUGACCAAAAGAGACAAAGUUACUGAGCAAAUUUUAACAAAGAGGUCCAAAACCUCUCUGACGAUAACCAAGUGUGGAACAUAUAUAUGAGUUUUUACUCUUAUUAUGAUAAUUUGGUUUUUCAAUAUAUUAUAAAACUGUUA